rnacentral:misc_RNA from 1 species
CCAGUUCAUGGUGAUGGACCCCUCCGGCAAUCAGGUCACCAUUCCAGGCACCCACACCACCGAGCCGACAUUCGGAUUGCCUGCGACCUGGGUCGAUGCCUCACUUAAGGAGGAAGCCUCGCUGAAGGGCUACACGGUGGUUGAUUCCGCGACCGUUCUGUCCACGCACCUCACUGAACUGCUCAAGGGCAAUAUGUCUGACCUGUUGUCCUAUGGCGAGGUGCAGAAGCUCCUGCGCGACCUGCCCAAGGAACAGGGUGAACUGGUCAA